AACAAAGGGUUGGGACACAAAGUCAUUCUCAGAAGAAGGAAAGCCUGGAAGAUCUUUCAACAGACUUCCUGGUGCUGGGUCUCCUUGUUCUCUCUUUCGUGUGACCGAGAGGCCAGAUGACCACGUAUAUGCCUAAGAGGAGAAGCUGCCACCUGUUGCUGUAAAUCUGACUUUUCACCCAAAUGAAGAAGACUUUUCCUCGUCUUAUCCCUGGCAAAGACUCUAAUGAUGCUGAAAUUCUUAGCAGCCCGUGGAAAGCUGAACAAGGACUUUGUACUCCAGACAAAGGCAGAAAGGGGGCCUGAUCCAUGAGUCCAGGGGUUGCCAUGACGACCGUCCUCCAGAAGCAAAAAUUUUAAGGCUACUCCGACUAGGCCAGUAGUGCAAAUGUCUGCAUUCCCAACUCUUCCUCCACCCUGCUCCAUCACCAGAAAAUAUCUUCAUAUUUUUUUCCCCUGGGGAGAAUAAGGGGGAAAAAAAGGACAACACAGAUGACGUCAGGAUGGCUAGCAGAUUGUUGGUAUAACCCGGCUGUCUGCCCCCCUCUUUCUUCCUGCAAACUAAAGU
rnacentral:antisense_RNA from 1 species